CCCCUCACAGGAUGGCAGCUGGAGAGUUUCCAGUCCUCUACCAGUCUUGGCUAGGGGAGGGGGAGUCAAGCAGAGGCCUACCCAUUCCGUUCCUGGCUUGGGCAGUGGCUAGGGAGUGGAAGGCAAUCUGCUACAAGU